rnacentral:rRNA from 1 species
AUUGAACGCUGGCGGUAGGCCUAACACAUGCAAGUCGAACGGCAGCACAGUAAGAGCUUGCUCUUACGGGUGGCGAGUGGCGGACGGGUGAGGAAUACAUCGGAAUCUACUUUUUCGUGGGGGAUAACGUAGGGAAACUUACGCUAAUACCGCAUACGACCUACGGGUGAAAGCAGGGGAUCUUCGGACCUUGCGCGAUUGAAUGAGCCGAUGUCGGAUUAGCUAGUUGGCGGGGUAAAGGCCCACCAAGGCGACGAUCCGUAGCUGGUCUGAGAGGAUGAUCAGCCACACUGGAAAUGAGACACGGUCCAGACUCCUACGGGAGGCAGCAGUGGGGAAUAUUGGACAAUGGGCGCAAGCCUGAUCCAGCCAUACCGCGUGGGUGAAGAAGGCCUUCGGGUUGUAAAGCACUUUUGUUGGGAAAGAAAAGCAGCAGGUUAAUACCCCGCUGUUCUGACGGUACCCAAAGAAUAAGCACCGGCUAACUUCGUG